GUCUGCGGCCACGCCACCCCGCACGCGCCCGAUCCCGUCUGAGCUCGGAAGCUAAUAAGCAGGGCCGGGCCCGGCUGGUGCUUGGAUGGGAGACACACAUUUGGUUCCCAGGCCCUUCCCAACA
rnacentral:rRNA from 1 species